rnacentral:rRNA from 1 species
UACGAACCGUACGAACGUUAUUCGGAAUUACUGGGCUUAAAGGGUUUGUAGGCGGCCUUGUAAGUCAGGUGUGAAAUCCCUCGGCUCAACCGAGGAAUGGCGCUUUAUACUGCAAGGCUUGAGGGAGACAGGGGUAAGCGGAACUGAUGGUGGAGCGGUGAAAUGCGUUGAUAUCAUCAGGAACACCGGUGGCGAAAGCGGCUUACUGGGUCUCUUCUGACGCUGAGGAACGAAAGCUAGGGGAGCGAACGGG